rnacentral:rRNA from 1 species
AUGUUCCGUGUGCUAUAUGAGAAGAUGUCGCAUUUUUGCGCAAAUUACGGUAAGAUUGGCGAUGUUGCAGAUCAAUGUGGGAAUGGGGUUCAUGAUCCAAAGAAGUUUCAGUUUAGCGAUUUUAUGAUGGUUCAAACCUAG